UACGAAGGGGGCUAGCGUUGUUCGGAAUUACUGGGCGUAAAGCGCGCGUAGGCGGCUUUGUAAGUCAGAGGUGAAAUCCCGGGGCUCAACUCCGGAACUGCCUUUGAAACUGCAUCGCUUGAAUGUCGGAGAGGUGAGUGGAAUUCCGAGUGUAGAGGUGAAAUUCGUAGAUAUUCGGAAGAACACCAGUGGCGAAGGCGGCUCACUGGACGACUAUUGACGCUGAGGUGCGAAAGCGUGGGGAGCAAACAGG
rnacentral:rRNA from 1 species